GACGAACGCUGGCGGCGUGCCUAAUACAUGCAAGUCGAACGCUUUUUCUUUCACCGGAGCUUGCUCCACCGAAAGAAAAAGAGUGGCGAACGGGGGAGUAACACGUGGGUAACCUGCCCAUCAGAAGGGGAUAACACUUGGAAACAGGUGCUAAUACCGGAUAACACUAUUUUCCGCAUGGAAGAAAGUUGAAAGGAGAUUUUGCGUCACUGAUGGAUGGACCCGCGGUGCAUUAGCUAGUUGGUGAGGUAACGGCUCACCAAGGCAACGAUGCAUAGCCGACCGGAAGGGGUGGUCGGCCACACUGGAACUGAGACACGGCCCAGACUCCUACGGGAGGCAGCAGGAGGGAAUCUUCGGCAAUGGACGAAAGUCUGACCGAGCAACGCCGCGUGAGUGAAGAGGGUUUUCGGAUCGUAAAACUCUGUUGUUAGAGAAGAACAAGGAUGAGAGUAGAACGUUCAUCCCUUGACGGUAUCUAACCAGAAAGCCACGGCUAACUACGUGCCAGCAGCCGCCGUAA
rnacentral:rRNA from 1 species